GAAAGAUAUUUUUUGUUGUUGUUGUUGUGUGUAUAUGAUUACACCGUGAUAUAUUUGUUAGUUUUUCCAACAAUUAUGGUGAUGUAUGGGAGAGGUAAGCAAUGAUGCAACUCUCCUUAGUGAGAUAAGCAAUGAUGCAAUGAGUGGUAGGUGAGAUUUGCACUUUUGGUCCCUAUCUCAAAACUAUAAAUACCCCCUUCCAUUUCAUUGUAUAACACACCAAAAAA